rnacentral:rRNA from 1 species
GACGAACGCUGGCGGCGUGCUUAACACAUGCAAGUCGAACGAAGAGCGAUGGAAGCUUGCUUCUAUCAAUCUUAGUGGCGAACGGGUGAGUAACGCGUAAUCAACCUGCCCUUCAGAGGGGGACAACAGUUGGAAACGACUGCUAAUACCGCAUACGACCUAAACUCGGCAUCGAGGAUAGAUUAACGGUGGCCUCUACAUGUAAGCUAUCACUGAAGGAGGGGAUUGCGUUUGAUUAGGUAGUUGGAGGGGUAACGGACCAUCAAGGCGAUGAUCAGGAGCAGGACUGAGAGGAUGAACGGCCAGAUUGGGACGGAGACAGGCCACAGACGCCUACGGGAGGCAGCAGGGGGGAAUCGUCCGCAAGGGACGAGAGACUUACGGAGCAACGCCGAGUGAGGGAUGACGGCCUUCGGGUUGGAAAGCUCUGUUGAUCGGGACGAAAGGGCUUCUGGCGAAUAGUGAGAAGGAUUGACGGUACCGGAAAAGAAAGCCACGGCUAACUACGUG